GACGAACGCUGGCGGCGUGCUUAACACAUGCAAGUCGAACGGAAAGGCCCUGCUUUUGUGGGGUGCUUGAGUGGCGAACGGGUGAGUAACACGUGAGUAACCUGCCCUUGACUUUGGGAUAACUUCAGGAAACUGGGGCUAAUACCGGAUAGGAGCUCCUGCUGCAUGGUGGGGGUUGGAAAGUUUCGGCGGUUGGGGAUGGACUCGCGGCUUAUCAGCUUGUUGGUGGGGUAGUGGCUUACCAAGGCUUUGACGGGUAGCCGGCCUGAGAGGGUGACCGGCCACAUUGGGACUGAGAUACGGCCCAGACUCCUACGGGAGGCAGCUGUGGGGAAUAUUGCACAAUGGGCGGAAGCCUGAUGCAGCAACGCCGCGUGCGGGAUGACGGCCUUCGGGUUGUAAACCGCUUUCGCCUGUGACGAAGCGUGAGUGACGGUAAUGGGUAAAGAAGCACCGGCUAACUACGUG
rnacentral:rRNA from 1 species